CUCAGGAUGUGAGGCAGCAGUAAAACGCAAAAGAUGAUGACGUUUUGAGAGUGUUCUUAGAGAAUUUAUAUAUUUUCCUUUUUUUUUUUUCCCUUCUCAUGUACAUAUCUGAAAAAUAAAUAAAUGAGAAAGGAAAAAUGCAGGCAGGUUUGAUCUGUGCUUGCCUUUGUUGAAUCUCAGGUUUUGGCUACAUGAAAAAAGGAGACUGAGAGCAUAAUGUUAAGUUCAGGGAAUAAUUUAAGCCGGGGAAGUGCUACAAUGUCAUCAGAUGUUCCACCCUUGACACAUUGCUUGCCUUUGGAGCCAAUUGCAUUAGGCAAUCAGAAAUAUACUCGUUCUGGAGAGGUUAGGAGGGUCUUGGGUGUCCCUCUUGGAAGUGCAUCAGAGGACCAUUCCUUUGGAGUUGCUUAUCCCAAGCCUCCACCUCCAGUGGCAACAGAAGAACUAAAACAUUUCAAAGAAAGUGUACAAGAUGCUUCUAAAAAGGCCAGGGAUAGAGCGAAAAUGUUGCGUGAUUCCUUAUUCAAAUUGGAUAAGUAUAGGGAAGCCUUAAGCUCAAAGAAGCGACAGAGGAGUGAACUUUCAUUAAAUGAGAGGUCAAAUGGAGCAAAUGCAGUAAAGAUGGGGAGUCAGAUUCAUAGAAAUUCUCAUGACAUUAUGACUCAGAGAUUGGAAGACAGGGCCAAGAACGUUGGGCUGAAUAAGCGUGUUCGUACAUCAGUGGCUGAUUCAGAUGGUAGGUCCAGCACUCCCUCAAGGCAGCAGAUGAUCAUGGAAAAGGGUGGAGAUAUGCUCCAGGAUGCCAGUGGGGUUACUGUUAAGUUUGAAGAAAAGAUCCAAAG
rnacentral:misc_RNA from 1 species